UGUAAGGUUGUCAUUGGAAUGGAUGUUGCUGCAUCUGAGUUUUAUGGGUCAGAUAAAACCUAUGACCUGAACUUCAAGGAAGAGAAAAAUGAUGGUUCCCGAAAGAUCUCAAGAAAUGCUCUCAAGGACCUCUACAAAUAAUUUGUGAGUGAGUACCCUAUUGUGUCAAUUGAAGAUCCAUUUGACCAAGAUGACUGAGAACACUACUCCAAGAUGAUAGCUGAAUGUGGAGAACAAGUACAAAUUGUGG